GGGCCUGGACUCCUGGGUUUGAUGGUAGCGGGGCCUGCAUUCCUGAGUCUGAAGGAAGAAGGGCUGGGGACCUGGACUCCUGGGUCUGAGGGAGGAGGGGCUGGGGGCCUGGACCCCUGGCUCUGAGGGAGGAAGGACUGGGGAGCUGGGGGGGCUGGGGGCCUGGACCCCUGGGUCUGAGGGAGGAGGGGCUGGGGGCCUGGACCCCUGGGUCUGAGGGAGGAGGGGCUGUGCUCCUGGAGGAGCUUGGAGUUGGGAAUCCUGGGUUUGAGGAGAGUGGCUGGGGUCCAGAAUUACGGACCUCCUCCCCCUCCAGGGGGCAGAAUCCGAACUUUGGACGCAAAAGGUAUUGAGCUUCAGUACCCAUGCUGCCAAAGUGAAGAUGGACUGGGUCGCCAGGGGUGGAGAGGCCAGGCUGGGGUUUCAGGGCGCGAUUCUGAGUUUUGGAGUGAUGGGGUGUGGUGUUCGGCGCGGAGGUGGGGACAGGGCUGGGGCGUGGCCCGGGACGUCCUGAGCUGGGUUCGGAAGCCAACGGGGUGUUUCCUCUGCCUGCUUGGGUCUCCGGCGGCUCAUUCCUGAGCUCUGACCUCAGGCCACGGCUGGGGGCUCGGAGAGUGGGGACUGACCCCAACCCUCCAGGUGGUCCGCGCGCUAACUCACCUUCCAGGGGAGGCUCCCCGAGGCCCCGCCCUCUGCCUCCUGGGCGCGCCCCACUUCCUCCUAACGGGUCAGGGGAACGGGAGGCGGCAGACUCCUGCGGGGCACCUCCCAGGUGGCCCGGGAGGCUCCGCUCCGGCCGGGGGAGACCAGCCCUCCGGGUGGUGGCGGAAGGUGUGGCCACUGUCUUCGAACUGGAUUCCAAUACUGUGCAGUUUCCCGCCGCCACCCCUACCCCGAGAUGCCAGGCGUGCGCAAGGCGAACCCAGGGGUCCAGCCCUUUUCCAGGUGUCUGACCCAAUCCGCCUCCAGGACCGAAUCUCUUUCUGGUGGGGGCCCUCCGCCGAGACCGCUGGUGAGUGGGGCCGGGGGCCUCAGACUCUUAGGUCCGAGCCGGGGAGGGGUUCUGGGGUCUGGACUCCUGGAUCUGAAGGAGGAGGGGCUGGGGAAUUUGGUCGCCUAGAUCCUGAGACAUGAGGAGGAAGUAUGUUCAGGAACUGGUCUCCUGUGUCCCCAGGAAGCUCUUGUGAGGGACAGCUGGGCUGUGACCCUGCCCUCCUACACUGGAAAGAGGAAGUUUUAUUGCCUGGGAGUUGAGAGAGGCCUUUUGAGCUUGCCAGAGGUGUUUCCCUGGUGGCUCGGUGGCCAAGAAUCGGCCUGUAAUGUAGGAGACAUGAGACUGGGGUUCUAUCCCUUAAUCGGGAUGAUCCCCUGGAGGAGGGCAUGGCAACCCACUCCAGAGUUCUUGCCUGGAGAAUCCCAUGGACAGAGGAGCCUGGCGGGCUGCAGUCCAUGGGAUCGCAAAGAGUCGGACAUGGCUGGAGUGGCUGAGCAGCAGUAGCCGAGAGAUUAGCUAUUUUAGGGCCUGAGUGAGGAUAUGGACACUUGGUCAGGAGUUUGAGGCCAGGGCCUCAUUCCUGAGUCUUUGGGACAAGGACACUGUCUUUCUGAACCUGAGAGACCCAGAGAUUUCAGUGGCCUGGGUCAGGGGAGGGGGCUGAGGUUCCCGGAAGUUGGGGACUAGCUGGCUUGGUUCCUGAAGGGGCCUGAACCUCAUGUUGGGGGAGAGGCAGGAGGAAGCUUGACUUCCUUUGGGUUGAACUUCCCCAGGCUCCUCAGUGGGGUGCAAGUUCCCCAGGCUUCCCAGGUGGUGCUAGUGGUUAAGAACCCACCCGCCAGUGCAGGAGACUCCAGUUCAAUCCCUGGGUGGGAAAGAUCCCCUGGAGAAGGGCAUGGCAACCCACUCCAGUGUUCUUGCCUGGAGAGUCCCAUGGACAGAGGAGCCUGGCAGGCUGCAGUCCACGGGGUCACAAGGGUUGGACACGACCAAAACGACUUAACACACAGAUACCCCAGACCUAAAUCCCUGUGGCCACAGGAGGGGUGCUGCUGAGGUUGCUAAUACCCAGUUCCACCUGGGGAGAGACUCCCCUUCAGUGAGAGGUGGCAGGCUGGAAGACUGGGAGCUCUGAUCAGAUGUGGGUCCCUGAGAAGUUCCCCGAGUGAUGGCUAGACUCUUGAAUGUGUCUGGAGGCUGGAAGUGUUUGUUAGAUCAAAGAAAGUUCUGGCUGCAGAUCCCUGGGUACCCAAAGGAAGGAAGUUGCAGGGGUGGGUUUUUUAAGAGAUCACAGAAGACAGGGUCUCUUAUUCUGAUGGGGGUGGUGGGGAGGGCACAAGACGGGGACGCUUUAGAGCACAAUCCUUUUUUUUUUUUUGGUUGUAACCCAGGGCAUGUAGGAUCUUAGUUCCCCAACCAGGGAUUGCCCCCUGCAUUGGAAGUGCGAAAGUCUUAACCACUGGUCCACCAGGGAGGUCCCUAGAGUAGAAUCUUGAGUGGCUGGGUUGCUGAGUCCCUGGGGGAAGGAGAGCAGCUUUGUGUGUCUGGAGUGGAGGGGGGAUAAAAAAGAGACGUGAUUUUACAAGAGUUGGCUUUCAGGGUUAAGAAAGAAGGGUCCUGGGGAAAAGAGAGACAGGGUACCUACCCUCCUGAGCUCUGACAUGAGGCUGGAGUGGGGGGGGGCUAACACCUGGACCACCAGCAUCCCUGUAGGCCUGGGACUGGCCCGGUUUGAAAACUGAAAGGCCCAAAUCCCGGGUACCCCUCCAGCUAGAGUCCAGAUUACACCAUCCACAAUGGCCCCUCCAGGGAGGCAAGUGCCCCAGGGUGGGGGGGACCCUGGAUCCUCCAGUUUGGAAUGUUCUUAGGAUCU
rnacentral:lncRNA from 1 species